AUUCAAUCCAAGCGUUGACUCCCAAGGGUAACGAGAAUUUAUCCAAACGCAACCUGGAGUCCAUGGCUUUCACUCGAUUGGGAAUACAACGAUCUAACACGUCUGGUUUAACUAAAGAAGGUGCAUGCAAAUGCUCCAUCAUCCACAACUGCAAUAUCAGGUUACUGCCCUCAAAAAAUCUCCUUCCCCCUUUCACUUCGGUUAAAGCCUUAUAUAUUUCUGUUAAGAUCAUGGGUAUGAGAGUGAACCUACUCUUUUGAUUAAUGCCCUUGUCGUUUUGAUCCUUAUGAAAUAGGGUCAUCACCACAGAUUGCAAACGGGUAUUAAUACGUCUUUCUUCUAGUGGAAACACUAAAGUACCUAACAAAGCGAGGGUGAAGACUUCAAGACGCUUUCUCUCCCACUUCUUCUUAGUCACAUGAAAUUCAUCCCAAAAGCAAUCAAAACCUUCCGAGGGCCCAAAUCUAGCGAACAAAAAAUCUAGGGAAACCCACGAAUCACUUAAACAACCCAAAUGGAUACCCUUACUUUUUAAACCACAUGACUGCAAGAAUCUCACGCCAGUAUGAUUUCGUGCUCGGAUUAUAUCCUUCUCGCUAUAGGAAAAAUGCAACAAAUCAGAUAUUUCUGCCAAAGUAGGAGUCAUUUCACAUUCCCCAAACCUGAAUACCAAAUCACUCGGAUCCCAAAAGGUAAACAAAGCCUCUAUUAGAUCUGGACGAGGGGUAAUAUGCAGAAGUUCCGUAAGAUCACUUAAUAUUUUAACCAGUUUCCGCUGAUCAACAUAGUUAAACAAUUCCCACCAUUUGAUUAACUUUUUGGGCACCUUAACAACCAUCAAAACUCUAGACUUGAUGGACAAAUCCAUCCUGUAAUAACACAUAAGACGUUAUCUAAAAAAUUCGACAGGAGUAGACGAUUCCAAACCCUUGGGAUUUUUGACGCAAACAUAUGUCGAUGGGACAGACCACAUUCAUGACUCCAAUUUGCCGAACAGAAUUACUGAGCGAAAUCAGUCUACUUGGCAAACAACUCUAGAUUACGAGGCGAGAGACCUAGGCUAAUAAGAAGACAAAGCCUAACACAAAGAUUUACCGGACCCAAUGAGGGUUGCCUACGUAUCCCAACCCGAGGGAAGGGAAUCAGGUAUGCGUAGUUCAAUCAGAUUGGACCAUGAACGAUUAACUACUAAAUUGACCCUACUUAAGAGACAUGAUAAAAAACAAACGAAUAAAAAUUUUUGGAUUUUCAACUAGACAUUUCAACUAAGACUGACACCACCAAUUAUGAAGAAAAAUCUUUUUGGUAUUUUUGUUUUUGACNNNNNNNNNNNNNNNNNNNNNGGAAAAAAUUUUUUUUUUUUUUUUUUUUGAAUUUUUUUUUUUUUUUUUUUUUUUUUUUUGAAUUUACGGUACUUUGAGAAGACAAAUCUAAAACGUAAAAAAAAUCCUUUUGAGUUUUUGGAUCGUGAAGAACAAAAGCCAUAAAGAAAUCUAAAAUAAACUACGACAUUCCUCUCUUUUUUUCGUUCUUUUCGACUCACUUUUUCUAUUAUUUUUUUCUUUUUCGUUUUUACCUACGUACCUUACUCCUAACAAUUUAUUUAUUUUUUUUUUCAAAAAUCAGUCCGUCAAAUGACCACGUUAUCCUAAAAGAUGCAACAUUUAGCACGUAGGGAUGCUUUAGAGGUGAGUCUCCUACAAAGGACCAAGUGGGCCCCAUUAGAUCUCAAUAUGAUGCACAUAAGCAUGAGCUAAAAGCUGACCUACGUUGUGGUUCACUAACAAGGUUGUUCAGGGGAGCGUAUGGUCGAUAGUGGCUGCUUUGCUUUUCACCUACUCCAUAACACCGAUGGCUCCCCCCCUAAAAUAAGGGUGACUCAACUAGAGGUUGUGUACAACACGUGUACUACAGACUUGUUGCAGAAAGAAGGCUGGGGGGUGGACUCAUGAUGACAGAUAUAAAACGGUAACACAUAGGAUAAAUAACAUAAACAAAGAGCACGAAAACGCACAAAAGUGAAAAUAACAUCAACAAUAAUCACAAACAAUACUUAUACACUCGUAAUGCCAAACAAAGCCGAUACGACUCCAAAAAUAGCUCGAAUUCUAAAAACUUGUCAUUGUCCCCAGCAGAGUCGCCAGAAGCUGUCACACCCCUCUUUUUUACGUACUCCAAAAAAUAAUGUAUAUUUUAAAGUUCGAAAGGUCUUUAUUAUUUAAGUGACAAGAAAUGAAAAUUUAUUUCGGAAAAAGAAUUAUUUGCAUUUUUUAUUCAGAGUCACCACUUGGCAUAAUUCGGUGUGCCAAGUCACCUUUGGAAAAUCCUUUUCGAAACCAUUUGACUCUUAAACUGGUUUUGCGAACAGAGAUUCCGGCUAAGGAAUUCUGUUGACCGAGGGGAAGGUGUUAGGCACCCCUUAAUCCCGUGGUUCAACCACGGUCGCUCGGUAGAGUGUAUCGACUAUUUUUGGCAUUAUGAACUGUAUAGACCAUACAAAAGAACGCAAACUNNNNNNNNNNNNNNNNNNNNNNNNNNNNNNNNNNNNNNNNNNNNNNNNNNNNNNNNNNNNNNNNNNNNNNNNNNNNNNNNNNNNNNNNNNNNNNNNNNNNNNNNNNNNNNNNNNNNNNNNNNNNNNNNNNNNNNNNNNNNNNNNNNNNNNNNNNNNNNNNNNNGGGCAUUCCCCGGUUAAAUAAAUACACUUUCCAAAUACGAUAAACAAGACAUUCAACAAAUAUUCCAAUCAUUCCAACACUGCAACAACCCUAAACUUGCCUACCCGAGCUUGUUGUUUGCCUACCCGCUCGACGACGUAUCAAAUUCAACAUCAACAAUGUAUCAAAAAUAUCAUAAUAUUCACUUUUAUCAAUUUUUGAUUCCCGUCCCCAAAUUUCCUUUUAAUCAAUCGCACCAUUAAAACUAAUCCAAUUCUUACAUCAUACCACCGGAGUCACAUCACCAAGCACGUGAUCAUAACAUCAACAACAUCAAACAAAUACAAUCACCUAAAACACAAUCAUAGCCAUUUCAACAAAAUAGAAUAAAGAAGAAAGUACGGGAGUAAAGAGAUGGACCUCAAGAGCUUUCGAUUGAUUUUAAUAAGAGAAAUAAGAGCCGCUCCAAGAACCUCGAUAAACACCAAUGAAAUCUCGACUCUUCAAAUCUAUCGAAAGCUUUCAAAAUCGAAUAUUAUUUGAAUGAGAAGAUGAAAACCGCCUCUGAAGACCUCAAGUCGAAACCUCAACAACGAACCAAUUUCGAUUUUAUCCACCCUUUUUCUUCACUAACCCGAUCCAAAACAGUGACGAUCCGAAACCGUUUUCGUGCGCGACGAUUCUAUCUAAUCUGUUUUCCGAUGGGGUUCGACAGAAAUGGCAACAAAAGGGAUAGGUCCAAUCGAGUUUUAGGGAUCAGUUUAAGGUGGGUGGGGUCGCUUUUCCGGCGAAGAGACGACAAUUUUGGGUCAAAAAUUGACUGACCCAACUACUGGUUGAUGCUUUCCAAUGCGUUUUUGAUAAUUUGCAAGAUGGUUCAACCGAAAACAGGACAGACGACGAUUGUUGGUUAUUUUCCAGUGGGUCUCCGAUUGGCUAUUCCGGCGAUGAUUUCGCCAGAAGACUGGACCGAAUCACGUUUUUCUCUCUCACAUUCGAUCUACUGUUUUUCUGUGCGUCCCUCUCUCAAUUUCUCCUCUCUUUUGGUUCCCUCUCUCCCGUCACUGUGUGUGUGCGUGUAUAUGGCGUGAAGAAGAAAGAAAAAUUUUUGAUAUCUGCUCUCUGUUUUUUUUUUAUUCUCAAAAUGUGUGUGUCCGUUCCUCCUCCUCUCUUUUUUUUUGUGAGAGUAUGUGUGUAUAUAUUGUUUUCCAAAAAUAGAAGAAAAUGGUCCCCUUUUUCUCCUUCUUUCCUAGAAGUUUCCCAAUGUAUAUUUCUUUUUGCCCAAGAAAAUGAGGGACCCACGUGGAGGUAAGGGUAUGGUAGGUAGGUAGAGGGUGAUUUGUCAUUUUCUUAUUGGGGGGUUGUUAGGAUGUUAAAAGAAUAAAAGUUUGUUGGGGAUUUUGUUAUUUUAUUAUUUUAUUUUAUUUUUUUUGUAUUUUGUGAGGGUAUAAUAACACGGGUGAGGGUACACGGUAGGAUAAAAUAAGAAUGGGUAAAAACGACAUUGGGAGGGACGAAAUUAGAUGUCUACAACUUCAUAAUAUAAAACCCUUUCAAACUUUAAAAUCAAUCUUUUUGGUUUAAAAAGGGUUGUGACAUAUCCAAUAAAAAAAAUUGAACCAAACUAAUAAUCCAAUAAAUUUAUUUAUAAAAUCAUUAAUCCAAUAAUUAUAAAUCAAUAACAUUUUUAUCGAUUCGAUUUAUCAAUUGGUUCGAUUUUUACACCCCCAACUUUUAUGCGUCUAACUCGUACAAAUCUAUGGCCGUUUCACGCCAUCAAUCAUUAAAUACUACACAUUUAUUUCAAAAAAAAAAAUUAUACUCCCUCCAUUUUGGAAUAAGUGAAUUGUUGGGGUAUUUAUUGGUGUUUCAAAAUAAGUGAAUCAUUGAUUUUUUUUUUGUUUCAAAUUUACCCUUAUGAUUGGACAACCAAUUAACUUUUGAAAAAGUAUUACAAGGUCAACUUUUUUUUUUUUGGAUAAAAAUAAAAAGUUGUAUUAAAUUUAUGUUUUUAAUGUUUUUUUCCUUAAUAUGUGUGCCAAAAUUCAACAAUUCAUUUAUUAUGAAACGGAGGGAGUAUAAUUUUUCGUUGAAGGGGGUUCAGAUCCUAAAGAUGGCACCGCCAAUACGUGAUGGGAUGAGGGCAGAGGCGGAACUUGAAUUUAAAGUCUGUGGGUUCUAAAUUUAAAUGGGAAAAAAUAAUAUUGCUAAUGGGUUUCGAAACCACAAUAUGAAAGAAUGAAAGGCUCUGCAGAAUGUGCUCAUACCACUUAGCUGCAAGCAUCUCUUGUGUUGUAGGUUCACACACAAUCAAUUUAUAUGUUUCUACUGGAUUGUUUAGUAUAAAUAUAAGACUAAACUCGAAAGUUAUUGGGUUCAUCCGAACCUCCGUAUAACACUGUAGUUCCGCCUCUGGAUGAGGGCUAUGGGGGUAAGAGUGAAGAUGAGGUAUGUUAGAAGAUAGAGAUGACACGAUCAAUGUAUAAUGUCACUAGCAAAAUUUCUUGUUUUUUCCACUUUUAUUAAGCAAGUUAUUUUUCUCAUUUUUAAAAAAUUUAUUUUCGUAAAAAAACAAUUUAAAUGCAAUUUCUUAAAGUUAUUUAUUAAGCAGCUUGCUUCAUCAUUGGUGCAGAAUUGUAAUCUGUCGUCGUGGAUAUUAGAGUUUGCUCUAAAUUUCCUCUCUUAUUUGAAUUCUUCCUCAAUUAUAUUUUAAUUCAAAAGGAUUCUUUUUUUUUUUUUGGUACGAACAACUCAGCUAUAUUUAUAUCCCUUUUCAGAGAAAAAAUUUGGACUUUCAUAAAUUGAAGAUCAAUUUUUUUCAAAUUAACAUAAUAGUAUUCACCAUGUAAUUAUUAAUAAGCCUAGUUUAGGGAACGAUUAUUCUCUCUAUAGCUUCAACAUUUUUUUUUCUUAUAUGUAGGGUCACUUAACCAAUCGAGCGAAGCGGCAGGUAUUGCAGAUUUUAUGAGAUUUUUGAUGGGUGUUAACCUAUGGAUCGAUGAGGGAUGCGGGCUCCAAAAAUAUUUUUGGACGAAAAUUCUCGUGCGGUCCCAUAUAAAUGGAUCAGGUUGCUUUAGAGGGGUUAGGGGAAUCAUUUGUCAAGUCAAAUGAGUGAAACAAUAGGAAUUACAUAUUUGAUGAGUUGUGGGUUCGGGUUUCAAAAAUAUUUUUGGGCAAAACUUUUUGGACAGUCUCCUGACAACCUAUUAAUGGAUUGAGUUGCUUUGGAGGGACUAAGAGAGCCAUUUUUCAAGUCAAAUGAGUGAAACGGCAGGAAUUGUAAAUUUUUUGCGACUUUUGAUAGGCGUUAGCCUAUGGAUUGAUGGGUGGGUGCGGACUUGGACAAUAUUUUUGGACGAAACUUCUUGGGCAGUCCCUUGACGAUCUAUUAAAUUGAUUGGGUUGCUUUGAAGGGGAUGGGAAAAUCAUUUUUCAAGUCAAAUGAGCGAAAUGACAAGAAUUAUGGAUCGGUGAGUGGUGCAGGCUCCACAAAUUUUUUUGGGCGAAACCACUUGGGUUGUCUCCUACGACUUAUUAUAUAGAUUUGGUUGCUAUGGAGGGGAUGAGGAAUUCAUUUUUUAAGCCAAAUAAGCGAAACGAUAGAAAUUGCAGAUUUUGCAACUUUUAGAGAUAUUAAGCCUAUGAAUCGAUGGGUGGAUGCGGGCUCCGAAAAUAUUUUUGGGCGAAACCUUUUGGGUCAUACCUGACGACCUAUUAAAUGUAUCAGGUUACGUUGAAGGGGCUGAGGGAGCCACUUUUCAAGUCAAAUGAGUGAAAUAGCAAAAUUGUAGAUUUUUUGUGACUUUCGAUUAAUGGAUGCGAGCUCCGAAAAUAUUUAUGGUUGAAGUUUCUUGAGCAGUCAUCUGACGACCUAUUAAAUGGAUCGGGUUGUUCGUAGGGGAGGGGGAGCCAUUUUCAAGUCAAAUGGGUGAAACGACAGGAAUCUCAAUUUUUUGUGACUUUCGAUGGUUGUUAGCCUAUGGAUCGAUAGGUAAAUGUGGACUCCAAAAAUAUUUUGGGCGAAACCUCUUGGGCGGUCCUCUAACGAACUAUUAAAUAGACGAUGGGAACUCCCAUAAGUGGGGUCCGGGAAAGGUUGUGCGUACACAUAACUUGCCCCUACUUUGUGAAGGUAGAGAUCAUUUCCGAUAGACACUCCACUCAAGUUAGAGAGAUCAUUUCCGAUAGACACUCAACUCAAGUAAAGCAAAACAAAAAUCAGUAGGAAAGGGAAAUACAUUAGUUAAACGGCACAGUUUUGGUCAUUUAUGUUAAAAGUAACAAUCCUCAAUUCUUUUUCAUACACAUCAUUUUCUUGAUUCUCCAUUUUACAGAGAUGAAAGAAACUCUCAACUAUUAGAACUACACUUCACCUGAAAUGUAGCUUCCAGACUUCUCGAACAUUCGAAGAGCCAUCAGUAACCUCGGAAACUAGAGACGCCGCAAGAACACCUGAUGAAGCAAACAAGAAACUCAUGAGUCAUGAGUAAAAAGCAACGACAACUGAAAAAGGAAGUAAGGAACAAUGAUCAUUAAGGUAGUGCAAUGAUGAACAACUUGAUGCAAUGCAGACGAGCAAGCCAGCAGCGAUAUGAAGCUAUUGUAAUGGUCUCACUACCCGGAAUGGACACUCACAAUGUGUAGCAAUUGGAAUUCUCGUGAUAAUCCAAGAGCAAUAAUCACUCAUGUGAUUCUAGUAAGCAUAGGAUGAAGCUGAGUAUUGAAUAGAGAAGCCUUAAUAGUCAAGGCACUUGGGGGAGGGGGGAAUACAAACAAGCCUCUCCUCCCGCUCCACCUCAUGGCGUGACCAGUAAAGCAUAAUGAUCCUCAAACAAUAACAUACCCAGGAGGGUAGGAUGUACGCAGACGGUAGGAUGUACGCAGACCUUACCCGGGAGGCUGUUUCCAAUAGACCCCCGGCUCAAAAGAGUGAGCAUAAUGAUCCUUGAAAACAAAUAUCCAGUUCACAAUGGAAAAUGCAGUAGAAGUACAUUAAUGUCACUUUUCCAAGAAUAAGAGUAAAAGUAAACUGAGUAGCUCACCGUCCUUCUCCACGAUUGAAAUAAAUCGCCUCGAGCCACCACCGACACCAAAAUAAUGCUUCUUUGCAGCUAGAUAUACAACUCCAUGAGGACUACGUAAGCACUGAACAAAAAGGAAAAAGGAAGGAAGCAAUAGCUCAGAUGCGACGAAAUUCACUGAUAAAACUAAAACUAGAACUUCAAAGAAAACAAACCUUUUUAAUAAGUUUGUACAGACUAGGCAGAGUAGAAAUUGAGUAAACUGUCUCUGCCAUGAGAAUUAUAUCAUAACCAGCAGCCUGAUCAACAGUUUGGCCGCUUAUUGUGCCACUAUCAUCGGCAGGAACAUGAGGAAGAAUCAGAUGAGCUUCAUUCCAGUCACUUGCAAAGAAGCGAACUUCCGCGCUAUUACUGUCACCUGUGGCUGACAAGUUCUUUUGAAUAUUGGCAUUGACAUUUGGAAUUGUCAGGCAUUGCAACACCUCAGCAUUGAAGUCCUGAAAGUGUACAGCACCAGCACCCUAGUACAAACGAAGCAAAAAUCCUAAUCAAGAGGACAAUGAGACGAUUAAAAGAAAAUCAAUUAAGACAUUUUUGUACCUUAAGGCAUGCAAAGAUCCCAGGAAGACCAUGACCACAACCAAGCUGAAAACAGAUGAAAGAGAGUAAACAAGAUUAAUAACGGAAGAUAAUGACAAGAGUAAAGUAUUGAGUCACGAUUAAUUGGCAAUAAACGCAUUUAGGGUGUUGAUUUCUCAAGGGUAAUCACAACUGAAAUAUAAAAGUGAUAAUGACAGUUUUACAAACUCUUAUUUAAAUAUAUUAAAACGACACUUUAUAGGAAAAUCAACAUUUCCACUGGGAAUCUCUGAUUUGACCUCAACUGUUUACAUUCAAUCAAACAGUACAUAUACUCCAUGCAUAAGCUUCUUGGAACUUCCUCCCCGGCCCCGCUCCGCAACUCACACAUAGACCCCAAGGUCUAAAGGAGAAAGGAGCGGAGAUGCCUCCCUCAAGUGAAAAACAAAGGGACUGAUAGGAGAUGCACAGUUACUUCUCCUAAAGUUGGUUUCUCUGGACACUCAAUAGUAUCUUAUAGUGAUCAUCAUUGAUAAAUACUUGCACAAGUAUUCUAUAAAAGAGAAUCACCCUACUAAAAGCUCUUUCAUCGACAAAAGCAUGUGACUUUUAUUGGGAAAGGAAAAAACGUUANNNNNNNNNNNNNNNNNNNNNNNNNNNNNNNNNNNNNNNNNNNNNNNNNNNNNNNNNNNNNNNNNNNNNACAGAAAAAUACUUAUACUAUGCUUAACGAACAGUAGACCUUUCUACUGCCUACAAUAAUAAAUUGGACAUCAUUUUGACGAACACUGCAUUGAGAAGGUAAGAGUGGAUUUAAUAAGUUAGGAUUAGCAGUCUCUAUGCAUAGCGGACAAGAUCAAAAAUUUCACCUCCACAUUAGGAGCCCACCUCUAAAACUCUUUUUCCAGUCAAUGAUAAUUGGCCGCUUUGCAUCUCAGAGCUUAGAGUCUUCACUAAAUCUAAUGAACCUUCCCACAAUUUCAGCCCCCCUGCAAAAUGAAAAUGAGAAUAUCAGUUAUCUAAUUACACUUCAUAAGCCCAACAUUCAUUCCAUACAACAUGCUAGAAAAUUGACGUAUUAUGCUGAUCGUAACCCUGCCGGACUUCUCAUGAUAUUUUUCUACAAUACUUUUUAAUCAAAACAGUAUAUACAUAAAUUAUCUAUGAAUAGAAUGGCUCACGACUUUUUCUCCAGACUUAUGACCAGCCGUGAACUUUCCCUCGCAUAACACUACUUUAUUUGCCAGUAAAAAUUGACGUCAUUACAUCUAAUUCUAGAUCUGAUAAAUUUAAAACAUUCCUAGACAGACGACAUUCAACUAAAUAAAGUUCACAUAAGUCAUGUUGAGGUAUCAGUAAUUGUAACGAGCAUGAAGGAGACAAAAUGGAGACCUAAAACGUUGCUACCUUCAUAUUUGCCGGGGAUCAAAUCGGAAUUUGACAGCCCAAAUACUUGCUUUGUACUGACCCUUCCCUAUAAAAAGGAUUAAACACUAGUUAAGGCAACUAAAAGAUAUCUGAAGCUACAUUCUUCUUUUCUUCCGUUAAUAGUGGCUUUCGUGGAAAAUGUUUUACCUUAGGAAAAGUGUUUGUUUCAUUAUAAAAGCAGGUAAGAAUACGUACUUGUACAAGACAUGGUGGAGGGUGUAAGUACAGCGUUAUUAAGAUGAUAUCUUUCAGCAGGUUUGCUAAAAAUGGUGAUCGAAACAAGCUAAUUGAAGUAAAGGGCGGAAUCUUUGUAAAGAAAAAACGAAUUAAAGUAUAAAAAAAAUGAUUUUUGAGAGAGAACACUUCCACAUUUGAAAGUAAAUAAACACUGAAUGAUUUCGACAAGGAAAAUAUCUUUUGCCACAUUAAAAAAAAAGGUUAAUAAGAUGAUAGAACUAAUCUUACCUUAAGUAAAGUAAGGCCAUCCAAAUCUACAGGCUCCACAUUGAACUCCACAUUUGAUGAAACCUAAUCCAACAACAACAAUAAUAACUACGUCUUAGUCUCAAACAAGUUGGGGUCGCUAUAUGAAUCUCCUCUUCUUCAUUUAAACUCAUUUUGUAUCAUGAUCAUGCUAAAUAAAAUAAAAAAUGAAAAAUAAGAGUGUGUGUUUAUAUAUAGUACUUUUUGUCCUGAGCUGCGGGGUCUAUCGGAAACAACCUCUAUACUUCUUCAGAGGUAGUGGUAUGGACUGCGUACAUUUUAUCCUCCCCAGACCCCACCUACACUGGGUAUGUUGUUGUAGUGUCGGAAGUUCUCUGACAUGUCCAAACCUUAGUAGACGUAUUUAUUACUAAUAGGAAGUGACAGGUUGAAUUAAUCGAGGUGUACGUUAGUUGGCCUAACACCACGGUUAUAAAAAAAAGUUCUCCAACAAGUCUAAAUCACAUAAAGAACUGAUUUUUCUUCCUUCUAAACUCCGAGAUAAAGAUACAAUUUUUAGUAUGAAGGGCCAAAAAUAGACCUAAAUUAUCCCGGUUUUCAAGUUUUCUACUUGAACUAUCACCAACUAUUCAUCAAAACACGAUUCAUUUAUCAAUUGUUCGCUUUUCCUACCUAUAAAACUCUAAAAAAGCGGAUAUUUUAGGUGUGUUUUUGACGAUUUCAUGUUUUGAUUUUCGAAAUUCAAACUAUACGAACGUUAGACCAAUAUUUUUAAAUGUAAUUGAAUUACAACUUAUAUUAUAAUUUAUAUUAAAUUAACUCUCGAUAAAUGAAAUGUAACUAACCUGUGAGGGAAGUACUUCAACAAAAGGAGGUGGAGGUGGAAGUGGCUUUUCUGGGCCAUCAAGAAAACCCGACCCGAAUCCGAACCCAAAACCCGACCCGAACCCGGAUGUGUGUGUCUCCAUAGCUAAAAAGUUUCAGUUUGAGGUUUCACUGUGUUGACGGCAAACUGAUGGGAAGUAAACACAACAGCUAAAUGGGCCAAGACAUAUGGAUAUUAAAUGGGCCUACUUAUUGGGCUUUUAUUUAGAGGUGUUUUUCGAUUUUCCGUUAGGAGUGGGUUAAAGUUCCACGUUGGUUGGGAACAGACUAACAAUCUGCUUAUAUGGAGUUGGUUUCUCAUAAGCUAAUUUUUGCGGUUAAGCGAGGUCCACGUGUCAUAUCGUUACAAAAUAUCAGAGUCAGGUUCAUCAGCGUUUGGACUUUUUGAUCCACGCUUUGGUUGGGCCUAUACGUAAAGGGGGUGUUAGAAUGGGUUAAAGUCUCAUAUUGAUCGAGAAAUUGACUAACGGUUUGCUUAUAUGGACUUAUACAAUCAUCCCUUUGUGAGCUAGCUUUUUCUGGGUUGAGUUAGACCCACGUGGCAUAUCUUUACAUGGUAUUAAAGUCAGGUCUAUACCCGUUUGGACUUUCGAUCCAUGCUCUAGUUGGGCCUGUGCGUGAAGGAUGUUAGAAUGGGUUAAAGUCCCAUAUUGAUUCGGCAAUUAACUGACUGUAUGCUUGGAUGACUUAGAUAAUUCUUCCUUUAUGAACUAGCUUUUGGAUUGAAUUAGGCUCAUGUGACAUAUCUUUACAUGGUGUCAAAGUCAAAUUUAUCCUUGUUUACACUCCCGAUUCACGCUCUAGUUGCACAUGUGCGUGGAAGGAUGUUAGAAUGGGUUAAAGCCCCAUGUUGAUUCAAAAAUGGACUAAUAGUUUGCUUAUAUGAAAUUAGACAAACUCUCUUCGUGAGAUAGCUUUUGGAUUGAAUUAAUUAGGCCCUCGUGACAUAUCUUUACAUGGUAUCAAAUUUAGGUUCAUCCCUAUUUGAACUCUCGGUUCACGCUCUAGUUGUGCAUGUAUGUGAAGGGGGUUGUUAGAAUGGUUUAAAGUCUCACAUUGAUCAGAGAAUAUACCGACGACAUGCUCAUGUAAACUUGGACAAUUCAACUUUUGAGAUUGAAUUAAACUCAUUGUCAUAUCUUUACAUUUUCAGGCCUAGAGUAAUAAAUGUGUUCCAUGUGAAUUUGGUGCCAAUAAAAAUACUUUUUAUUGUUUGGUUGGUGAGUGUUUUUACUUUUUUAUUAGUACUAAAGAUCAAUAACAAUAUCAAUGUAUAUAGACAUAAAUUGUGCACAAUUUGUUUGUAGGAAAAGAUAUUAAAUUAAGGGUGUGUUUGGUAUGAUGAAAAAUGUUUUCCUAUUUUUCCUUGUUUGGUUGCAAUAAAAUGUUUGGAAAACAUUUUUCACAAUAACUCAUUUUCCUUAAUUUGAGGGAAAAUGACUUCCCUCAUAGGCCAAGGGAAGUUAUUUUCCAGAAAAUGACAAAUGUGACUUAUGACCCCACCCCCACCCGUCUUCCCCACCCAACAACACUCAUAUUCAUAUGACUCAAAAAUUCACAUUUCUCAAAAAUUUACAUUAUUCGGAGAUAUUUUUUACUAUUCUUUGCUUCAAUUUUUCACUGCUUGAAAUAAAAAAUAGUGAAGCCUGAAUUUUUUCCAUUUCCAAUGUUUGUUGAAUGUAUUGUUAUUUUCAUAUGCGCAGAGGAAAACUUACCUAUGUUACUUUUGCUAAUUGCAUAUUUCAUUUUGUCAUCGAUGUAACUUGUUUCACGAGGUUGAAUAAGCUUGUCGUUCUGUUAUAUUUCUAUUGAUUGUAGUAUCUUGAGAUUGUCCAGACAAAAUAUUGAAAAGUGUCUCCUACAUUUGCUAAUUAAUAGUUGCUUAAAUUUAGUGAUUGUAAUAUUUUAGUAUUCGAUAUUGAUAUUAUUUGUUAUGCUUAAAUUAGUUCUUACAAAUUGUUGAGUUGCUAGAGGUACUGAUAUACUAGUUAACAGUUAGUAGUAUUUUCUAAAAAAAUUAUUUUUCAACUCAUCAAUCAAACACUAGAAAAUAUUUUUCUAAAAAAUAGUCUCUACUCACCAACCAUACACCAUAAAAUAUUUUUCAAAAAAUAUUUUCCACUCACCAACCAAACAUGAGAAAAUAAGUAGAAAACCAACUUAUUUUCAAGGAAAACAUUUUCCAUGCAAAAUAUUUUCCAUCAUACCAAACACACAAAGCUCAAUACCCUCAAAGUUGCUCAUUAAUUUAAGUUAAUCCAUUACAAGAUUAAAAACACAACAAAGCUAAUUAAGGGCAUGAAAUUAUUGUUACAAUAGAGUGACACAACAUUAAUUAAGAUGAUGAAAGUCUAAUCUUGUUUGGAGAUGAAGAAACUAAGUCAAUUGCACAUCCCAAUGGCCAUGCUGCUCCAACUAGGUAAUUUUUGUAUUGAACAUCAUGUAUCACUGUGAUUUCUUUGUAUGGAUUUAGUCCUGUCCAAACAAGCCAGAGAUGUAAGUAUACGUAUAAAAAAAAUGAAAUGACAAACAACUUAAAAGUAAUUACCUUUACUAGCCAAAUAUAUAAAAAUAUCAUCUAUUAUGUAUCAAAAAUGUAUAUUUUCUGUAUAUCAUAAAAGAAAUACAUUUACUGGCUAUUAUUUUGAGAGACGGCGGUUAUUUAUGUCAAAUAUUUCAAAAAGGAAAAGACCAAGCAAAAAUUUAGGUUAUAUUUGGAGAUAAGCAUUCAGCACCCCUGGAACUAUGGUCAAAAUUGUUAUGACGUACUCCAACUUCACAAGGACCUUUUUGUGCUGACAUGGCACCUUUACUAAAUAAAAUAGGAUCCACGUCAAAGGUGUUACGCCAGCUAAAAAGGUUGACAAAAGGUGUCACGUCAGCUAAAAAUGUUGACAAAAAUAAACUAAAAUUUAGUUCAGGAGAGUAAUAGGACCCCGUGAAAUUAGAAGUGUGCCACAGCAAAUUUGAUUAUAUUUCAGGAGUACUAAAUGAUUUACCCUUAUAUUUGUGUUUAUAGUAAGCAUAAAAGUACUAUUAAACCUUAGUUGAAUAGCUCAAUAAUAACCAGUUAAAAUAUACUGAUCGUAUUAAUAAAAUUCACACUGUAACGUAUAUAAGUUAAAAAAUCCGAUUUUAAACAAUUAUAAAUUAAGGAUGAAAGAUACUUACCAAAUCCAUCAACAAGCAAACUGAACUCAUAUAUCAAGUCCACACAUAAAUAUGGGACAUUUCUAUCUUGAGUUUUUGGGAAUACAGUUUUUAUAUCUGCUACAUUUGUUUGACAAGCAACUUUAGCUGCAUUUAAAUACUGAAUUGGCUUUGCUUUUGCUGAUGGAAAUUUGGAGUCAACAACGCCAACCUACAAUGCAAAAUUGAACAUCAAACUUGGUGUAUAUUCAAAUUUUAUACAAAAAAUAUAAUGAUAUACACAUUAUAAUGACAACUAUAAGUUUGACAAUGGUGUAGAAAAGCUUACCCUAGGUACAAUAGCAACCCCACCCCUAACUUUAGAUGAAAAGCACCCUCCACUAAUUCCCUUAUCAACAAAUUUGUUUAUCACCAAUAAGUUUUUCUUCUCUUUUCAAUAUUUUGGUGAAUAUAUUGUUGUCUACGUAAAGUCCAGCCCGCUAGUAAUAUUGUUCACUCUAAGUUUAAAUUUGUACGGUUUUAAAUGAAGUCACUAGGGUGUAAGGUCUGUCUGAGGUCAUUUGUAUUUUGUCCAGCCCGCUGGUAAAUAUUGUUCGUUCUGGGCUUAAAUCUACACGAUUUUAAACGAAGUCACUAGGGGUGUAAGGCCUGAUAACGUAUAUACCCAAAUGUGUCGCCUGUAUUUUUUUCAGCGCGCUGGUAAUAUUGUUCGCUCUGAGCCUAAAUCUGCACGGUCUUCAAUGAAGUCACUAGAGUGUAAGGCCUGAUAACGUAUAUACCUAAUGUGUCAAUUGUAUUUUGUCAAUUUGAAAUCUUAUCCUAUGUUAAAGUCCAGCCCGCUGGUAAUAUUGUUCGCUCUGGACCUAGAUCUGUACGGUUUUAAACAAAGUCACUAGGGUGUAAGACCUAAUAAUGUAUAUACCCAAUGUGUCAUCUGUAUUUUGUCGAUUUCAACUCUUAUCCUAAGUUAAAGUCCAGCCCGCUGGUAAUAUUGUUCGCUCUGGACUUAAAUCUGCAUGAUUUCAAACAACGUCACUAGGGUUUAAGGCCUGAUAACGUAUACACCCAAUGUGUCAUCUGUAUUUUAUCGAUUUCAACUCUUAUCCUAAGUUAAGGACCAGCGCGCUGGUAAUACUGUUUGCUUUGGACCUAAAUCUGUACGGUUUUAAACGACGUCACUAGGGUUUAAGGCCUGAUAACUUAUACACCCAAUUAAUGUGUCAUCUGUAUUUUGUCGAUUUGAACUCUUAUCCUAAGUUAGGGUGUACGUCAGAAAUUAAUUUUACCUGAGCACCAAUAUCAUAGAAGAAAGAUGAAGCAUGAAUAGUCUUUUGUCCACCACCACCACCACCAUUCCACACACCAUUGAAUGUGCAUUCUUCAUUGAUGCAUUUUGCUUUGGUUCUAAGUGCCUGUUUAACUAAGUUCCUGCAUCUCCUCCAACUAUUACCUUUUUUUGGUGCUUGUACUUUGUAGUCCACUCCUCCAUAUGAGUAAAACCCUAGAAAAAAAAAACCACAAUAAUCAUGGAAAUGUUAAAAAACAGGCAGUUUGAUACACUAAAGCUAUCGCUAUAUGCGGUGUCCGGGGAAGGGCCCCACCACAAGGUUGUAUCGUAGCAGGUUUACCUUGCACUUCUGCCAGAGGCUGUUUCCGAGGCUUAUUAAUAGUAGUAAAAGUUUAUUAGGGUUAACUGAUUAACAUGAUUAGCAUAAGAUUUCUUCUAUCGGAAAAAGGUGCGAAAAAUACCUAUACUUUGGCGAAAUUUGCUGUUACGCAUUCUGAACUUUGCGGGGGUCCUAUUUUUUGCUGUAUUUAACUGACAUAUAUUUGGCACUUGAACCACUCCUUGUAUAUCGCGCACAUUUAGCGCGUAAGAAACAAAUGUUUGAUAAGGAGAAAAUACAUGCCAGUUAAAUACAAUAAAAAAUAGGACCCCCGCAAAGUUCAAGAUGGGUAACUGCAAAUUUCGCCUGAAUACAGAUAUUUUUCUCACAUUUUCCCCUUCUUCUUUUAUAUAGUCUAACUAUUUCAACAAUUAUUAUAAAGUUUAAUAAAGAUUAAUAAGAGAUUUGAAAUUUAUAAUAUAUACCUUCAUAUCCUUCCAAAGCACAAGGAUUACUUCCAUUUCUUGAUGCCUUAAAAAUCUCAGCUCUACCAGCUAGUUGUCCAUAGUUCAAAUAACUGCAUAUACAUCAUAAAAUAAAAUUAUAAAAACACAUAAUUAAUCAAUAUCUUAAUUAUCAUUAAUAAAAAUAUUAAACUCUAGUUGACACCAUGUGUGUAAGUCUAAUUACUCCUAACAUUUGGUGUACUUAUUAAAUAUAUAAUCAAUUGAAAUUGUUGUUUCUCACCAACUAUUAGAUUAUUAUAAUAGUUGUUUCAUAUUCGAGCUCUGAAAAUAGAAAAAUAAUCACAAGUUGCACUUUUCCCUUAAUUCAAUGGAUCUUAUUCGACACGAAUCUAGCUUAGUCAGAGACUUUAAAGCAAUGGAGGCAAAGCUAGUAUUUUAGUUUACUGGUUCUGGACUACAAACUUUUUGUUUUCUUACUAGGUUCUGAAUAGAUUAUUUUACAUGUUAAAAAAUAAAAACCAUAUAUAACACCAUUGUCACUUUGUCCCUGAAAUGUGAGUACCGUACACUGAAUAAAAAACAAAAUAUAUAUGUAUAAGAGGAGAAAACAAACCUAUGUACAUAGAGAUUAUAAUCUUUAGACAUAAGAUGUUUUUUAUGAACAUAAGGUUUUCCAUCUACAUCUUGAGGAGCCUUUACAAAUUGUUCAUCUGAUAUAGCAUAUGCCAUUUGGACUGAACCACCACCAAGAUCAAUUGUUGCUGUUGUACUUGUAUAAUUUUUGCCCAAAUUUCCCAAUAAAUAAUUCAUUGCCACCUACAUACAUUUUAAUAAUAAUAAAUACUUACCAAAAUUAAAAAAUAAUUAGAUAAGAUAUUCAACUCUGAUUAAAUAAAAGGAUUUGCUACUCAAUUGAGAUCUCUCACUAACCCUACACUAUAUACAUGAUUAUUUUAUGUCUAUUUUUAAAGAGCAAUUAUUUAUUAAAGAAAAUUUGAAAUGAGAGUUACAUGUUGUUAUAUAAUAUUCUAAAGCCUUUGGGUACCCAGGGGACUCAUACAAAAUAAGUAAAAAGUCUUUAUAUAUAUAUAUAUAUAUAUAUAUUAUUUACACACGAUUAUAUACAUAUUAUAGAUGAAAUAUACAUGUAAGAAAUUUUAGUUUAAGCAGUAAUUAGCUAGAUAGACGACUAUUUAGGUUAAUUUUUCAGUAAGAAAAAAUAAUAAAUUAUUGAAUUUGUUGUAACUUACCCACAUGUAGGAGCCCUCUUGAGUACCAUCAAGAAUAGUGACCCAUUGAUCUUUGCUAUGGAAAGUGCUUUGGUUCUUGACUAAAUCUCUCACCUAAUAAAAUUGAAAAAGGACCAAAAAAAAUAAAAAGGCAAAAGCUUAAAUUCAUAAAUUUGUGAAAGAAGGGUUAAAAAUUUUUAUUUAUAAGAAAAAAAUGAAUUUUCUUCAAGUCAAUAUUGAAAAUACGAUGAAAUGAAAUGUAUAUAUACCGCUUGUAGAAUUUUUUCAGCUGCAUCCCCUUUUAACAUUCUCAGACCGGCUGUUGCCUGUAUAUAUCAUUAUUCACACAAGAAAAAAAAAUAUUAAAAGAGCAAUCAACAGUAUCUCAUAUAUCAUAAACAAUUCUACAUAACAAAGAUUUGAUAAAUCAACUUGCAUUACUCUAUCUAAGAAAAGAAAAAUGAAAAACCAUCAGCUUCCACAUUUUGACCAUGUACUUUUAAUAUAUGCUAAGUAAAAGAAUUGUAUUUAUUAUGUUAAUAGUAUUUAACUUUUAUAAAUGCCUUCACAUUGUAAAAAAGUUUUUUUUCAAAUUACUAGUUUCGCUUGUUAUGAACAGUUAUAUAUGAAUAGUUAUUUUCGUCAGUAGUUCUUUUUGGAAUUACUAUUUAAUAAAUAACCCUUUUUUCGACAGCUUAUAUAAUAAAAACCUAAAAAUAAAAGUUUUAAGUAAAUCAAUCGUUAUAUUUUGAGUGAUCUGAUAGUGUAAAUUAUGUAUACUAACCCCAAGUUCCAAGGGUGUUUCAGAUUGUAAUUCUUGAGGAACAGCACCUUCAGCUCCCUCUAAAAGUGGCACUAGUGAAUUGGCUGCUGCCUUUGGAUCUUCUGCAUAUGAACUUAAUCCUGGAUUUAUCUAUAAAAAAAGAUUAAGAUGAAAUUAAUUAAACUCACAUCAUAGGAGUUGAAAGAGCAGUACAGUGUACUAAAGCGUUUGCUAAGUGCAUGGUUCGGAAAAGAAUCGGAUCAUAAGAGCCUAUUGUAAGCAGUUUUAUCCUAAAUUUAUGUAAGAGUCUGUUUUUACGGCUUGAUAACCAGUGACCUCCUGGUUACAUGACAUUAACUUAACCAGCUACGCUAAUACUAAAAUUUUAUUGUGUGUGUUUGGCCAUGUCUUUUUGAAAUUUUUUUUUAGGAAAGUCUAGCCGAAGAGGGCUCAACACGUACUAUAGGUACAUAAAAAAUAAUUUUAAUCAUGUAUAAAUGAUAUAUUUUUUUAUCAAAGGGCUAACUCCGCCCCUUGAGGGGGGGGGGGGCGGCAGGGAAUAGAGAAAGAAAAGCAAGUUAGAACACAGACUGCCGUCAUUAGAAACAGAUCCAGAAUUUGAAGUUUACAAAAUUCUCGAAGUAGAUUUCUAAACACAAGUACAAAAGUUUAGCCAAAGUUGUUAGGCUUUGCAAACACGUAGCUAAAACCCUAGCUCCGAGUGACCCAGUCAACUAGUUACACUAUGUAACAUGAUCUUAUUUUCUGCAUUACUAAUUCUAGCUUUGUGCGAUUAUUACGUAUGCUUAUCUCUUCCGUAUAGCCUAAUAGCAUAAAAAAAAAAAUGAAAAAGUAUACACACGAACGUACCGCCAUGAAAAACUCAACAUUGUUGCCAAUAGGAAGAAGAUUCAAUUUUUCAUCAAAACGAAAAACAUGAACUCUACUUCCAGUACUUCCAGCAUCAAAUACUACUGCAUAAUGUUCUGAUUCAUGGCUUAAUAAAUGUCUCCUCAAUGGAAUUUGGGCAUGGACAUUAUUAUUGGAAAAAAUAUUAAGGGGCAAAACCAAAAAUAUUGCCAAAAUUGUGAAAACAAAAUGGCUAUUUUUGUUCAACAUUUUGCCCCAAUUUGAGGAUCUCCUGAAAAAACAAAAUACACAAAUUAUAAAGAGAGAAAUCUAUGUAUUUAAUGGUGAAAAAUAUUUCCAAAAUUAUCGAAUUAUCGCUAAGUAUAUUUAAUCUGUUACAACAAAUUAAAUUACGCUGAUGAUGUGUAAUUUUCAAUGAUAUAUAUAUAUAUAUAUAUUGUUGAUUUUUCUAGGAACAUCUCAUCGAAAUUUGACUCAUUAGUAAGGGGUUUCCAAAGAAAAAAAGUCAUCAGAAAUAUACCGACGAGCCAUUUUUCGAUGGAAUUCAUUGAAAGUUUUUAUCGAAAAUUAGUGAUUUUCUAGUAAUAGAGGUUUCCCAAGAAAAAAUCAUUAGAAAUGUUACUGACGAGCCAAUAUUCGAUGGAAUUUUUUGGAAGUUUCUAUCAGAAAUUAGUGAUUUUCUAGUCCAAGUACCUAGGUCUACUAGUGCAUGAAUUUGUAUUCUUAACAAAGGCUUAGGGAUAGAGCAAGAAAAAUAGUAAAUGGUGAUUUUUUCUUAUCUAUUUAAGUUUAGGUGAACGGAAUCUGUUCUACGAAAGAAGAUAAAUACAUACUAAAUUAUGAAAAUAUACACAAACUGAUUCCGACACUAAAAAAAACUUAGAGAGAAAGGGAGAGAGAUAUACCCUUUCUAUGAUAGUGGGGUGAAGAUGGUAAAGCAAGUGAUACAUCUUGUGAUUUUAUAUAGACUCACAAUAUGGAAAUAUAUGUGAUAUUACUAUUAUAGAAAUAUUUUAUACAAAUAAACCUAAUUAAUAAUUUGAUACAAGAAUUACAAUUUCCUUUUUACUUUUUGAUUAGACAUUAUUAUUUUGUCUCUCCAAUGACAUGAAAGUCUUCAUUUUAAUUUUUAUAUGUAUAUAUUAUCUUUGAAAGCUACCAUUUCCUAAAAUUAUUGUAGUGUGCUACUAUUAUAUAUAUAUACACACAAUUAAUUAAAUAUAAUGAUUUGAUGUACUACCAAUAGGCAAUUAUGAAUGUUACAAAGUAUUAUUUUUGUGAUAUUGAUUUGUCAUUACCAAUUAUGUCUCAUUUCGUAUCUAUUAAAUUAAAGGGCACCAAUAGUCUGAAAUGUAUAAUUGCAUAAGUGACCCUAUCUUUUUACUUUGUUUUCCUCCUAGCAUGAAUCACAUGGCAUGAUUCUUUUAUUUUUCUUCACUAGUUAUCGAAUUAUUUUUUUUAUCUCUAUUUAUGUGAUAUAAAUAAAAUUUAGAUAGUCAAAUAUUUUUUUUAUAUGCUUUCAGAUAUUUUAAAUUAUUAAUUAUUAUAAUUCAUAAUAUUUUUUUGCAUAAUUUUCAAAUAAUAUAUAAUUACUCUCUUUGUCUCAAUUUUUGUGGCAUUACUACAAUUUUGAGAGUCUAAGAAUUUUUUUAAAAUAUUUUAAGUUGUUAGUUAUUGUAAUUUAUAAUAUUUUUUCUUUGUCUCAAUUUAUGUGUCAAUGAUAUAAUUUCAAGGAUCAAUCAAACUUUUUGUCUUUUAAAUAUUUUAAGUUGUUAGUGAUUAUGAUUAAUAGUGCUUUUUUUUUAAAUAUAUAACAGAUUAAGAAUAAGAUAAACAAAUUAAAAUGAAAAAAAGAAAGAAAGUAAAAAGAUAGGCAAAGGAGUAAGUUGAACACUUCUACUUACAUGUUUGUCAUCUGUAAAAAGAUAGGCAAAGAAAUAUUAUUUUUUAGUGGGUUCAGGCGUCCAGAUGACAAACAUGUAAGUAGAAGUGUCCAACUUUCAAAAUCGACAUAGUACAAGGGUCCAUCAAACCAUUUUGCUCCAGUAAAAUUGUGUCAAAGUAGACAUGUUGACAUGCUAUGUGCUUUGACACAUUUUAUUGCCCGUAUUCCCUUUUAUAAGUAAGUAGAGAUUUUUAUUAUUGUUGUUAUUGUUGUUGUUGUUGUUAUUGUCUAUGUAAUUACGUACAUUAGAAUUAAUAACUCGUAAAAUCUCAGCCUUGUUUCAAGUAAGAUUGAUAUACAUGAUUAAAUAAGAUGCAUAUUUGUUAUGUGAUUAGCUUAUCUACCUAAUAAAUGUUUGAGAAUACGUGCACACUCUCCCCCUCCCCCCCCUAAAAAAAAUAUCUAGUAUAAAUAUUUUAUCAUGUAUUUAGGUGUUCGACGAAAAAAAUAAAGUUCAGUUAUCUAAAUAAUAUUUGUUCAAAAUUUAAGAAUAAAUCCAUAUAUGUCACUACAACAUUUUAGUCCUAUUGCUACACUUGCCACUCUUAUAAAGUGUGGCCUAAAAUUACAGGAAAUGUGGCCUUUGAUCAAAGGUUACACUUUCAGACUUUAGGCAACACUUUUUGGGGGAUGGCCUAAAGAGGCGUAAUCUUUGAUCAAAGACCACGUUUUUUCAGUGUUUCUAUAUCAGCUACAUUUAAAAAGCGUGACGAUUAAGGUAUAAAGGCCACGCUUUGCAGCUUGUCUUUGACAACACUUUUAUUUAAUAAAGCUACACUUACAAGUGUUGUCUUUGGUUUACUAUUGGGAACGCUUCACAAGCGUAGCCUCUUGUAGCAACUCUAUAACAACAAUUAAAAAACGUUGCCUUUAUUUUACUAUUGGGAACGCUUCACAGGUGUAGCCUUUUGUAGCACCUCUAUAACAACACUUGAAAAACGUGACCUUUUCUUUAUUACUAGCCACACUUCAAAAUUGUCGCUUUUUAUACAUCCUCUAUGACAACACUUAUAAAGUGUAAGCAUGUUUUAGCCACACCUUUGCAGUGUAGUAAUAUUGCCUAAAAUUUUAUAGUUCAUUUUAUACAAAUGGCAUUAGGCAUAUAAAAUGUUAGUACGUAAUUUCUAAUUGAAAAAUAAUUAUUUUGAUCGAAAUGUAUACAUCAUUAAGCACAUUACAUAAACAUACCUAUUUAGGCCAAACCCAUCGGUGGCCCCUAAACUUGGCAUGACGGUGGCCCCUAAACUUGGCAUGAACUUUCACUUAGGCACCUCAACUGGACGUUGUUCACUUUAGGCACCUCAAGUAGCCAUAAACUAUUUCAUUUUGACAUCUUUCGACAUCAGCACGGGUGCGUGUGUCUCACUCAUCGCCAGCAUGGAUAAAACGGUCAAUUAAUUUGUGUCAACUCAUUUCAAUUGCCACAUCACUAUAUGCACCUAAAAUUUUUUUAUUUUUUUUUUUUGAAAAAAGGAUUAAAACACAUGGAAAGAGACCAAUUAUAAAAAAGACAUUUGUCAUUUUUAUAAAAAAAAAAUUAUAUAAUUAAUUUAAAUAAAAAAUAUUAAUAACCUCCCCCCUCUCCCCCCACCUUAUAUUAUCUUCCUAACCAUCCCACCCCAUAUCAUCUUCCUCAACCCACCCCACCCCCAACGUUUUCUUUUUCCUUUUUCUAUUCAUACAUUUUUCUUUCAUUUUCUUCCANNNNNNNNNNNNNNNNNNNNNNNNNNNNNNNNNNNNNNNNNNNNNNNNNNNNNNNNNNNNNNNNNNNNNNNNNNNNNNNNNNNNNNNNNNNNNNNNNNNNNNNNNNNNNNNNNNNNNNNNNNNNNNNNNNNNNNNNNNNNNNNNNNNNNNNNNNNNNNNNNNNNNNNNNNNNNNNNNNNNNNNNNNNNNNNNNNNNNNNNNNNNNNNNNNNNNNNNNNNNNNNNNNNNNNNNNNNNNNNNNNNNNNNNNNNNNNNNNNNNNNNNNNNNNNNNNNNNNNNNNNNNNNNNNNNNNNNNNNUUUUUUUUUUUUUUUUUGGCGUGUCUUUUUUGUUUAUGUGAUGUGGGGGUUGUCAAGGAGAUGGGUGGUGGUGGAGAAGAUGACUUUGGGGUUUGGGGGAGGGGUGGGGGUGGGGGUGGAAUGCCAAAUAAAAUUAAAUAAUUUUGGAAAAUGCCACGUGCCAUCAAUUAAUUGGUUCUUUUAAUUUAAUUGUGUGUAUAUAUAUAUAUUAAUGAAUUGGUUAAUUAUGUCAUUAAUUGCUAUGUAUAUAUAUUGUUGCUGAUUUAGAAACAAUUUCAAUAAUCUAAAAAAAUUAAUGAUAAAAAAUUAUGAAAAUACCCCUUAAAAUUACGAAAAUACCCUUGAAACGCGCCCAAAAGCGAGUGUAAUACACUCUCUUUUUUGAAUUAGCAAAAGGUGCCAAAAUGACACAGUUUAUGGCUAUUUGAGGUGCCUAAAGUGAACAACAUCCAGUUGAGGUGCCAUAGUGAAAGAUUGUGUCAAGUUUAGGGGACUGCCGAUGGGUUUGGCCACAUAUUUAUCUAUAAUAUAUUAAAAGUGUGAAGAACUUUAGAAAAGUGAUUUAAACUUUUUGUCCUUCAUUAAAAACUUCUACAAUAAAUAAUGUCACACCUCUUUUUUACACCAAAAAGAUUGUAUUGUGGUUUGAAAGGGUUUUUAUUAUUAAAGUGACCAAAAAAAAAUAAAAAUUUGUUUCGAAAAAGAAUUAUUUACAUUUUUUAUUCAGAGUCGCCACUUGGCAUAAUCCGGUGUGCCAAGUCACCUUUGAAAAAUCCUUUCAAAAUAAUUUGACUCUGUAAAAUUGGUUUGCGAACAGAGAUUCCGGCUAAGGAAUUUUGUUGACCAAGAGGAAGGUGUUAGGCACCCCUCCAUCCCGUGG
rnacentral:lncRNA from 1 species